UUGACUGCGAGCGUGACGGCGCGAGCAGGUGCGAAAGCAGGUCAUAGUGAUCCGGUGGUUCUGAAUGGAAGGGCCAUCGCUCAACGGAUAAAAGGUACUCCGGGGAUAACAGGCUGAUACCGCCCAAGAGUUCAUAUCGACGGCGGUGUUUGGCACCUCGAUGUCGGCUCAUCACAUCCUGGGGCUGAAGUAGGUCCCAAGGGUAUGGCUGUUCGCCAUUUAAAGUGGUACGCGAGCUGGGUUUAGAACGUCGUGAGACAGUUCGGUCCCUAUCUGCCGUGGGCGCUGGAGAACUGAGGGGGGCUGCUCCUAGUACGAGAGGACCGGAGUGGACGCAUCACUGGUGUUCGGGUUGUCAUGCCAAUGGCACUGCCCGGUAGCUAAAUGCGGAAGAGAUAAGUGCUGAAAGCAUCUAAGCACGAAACUUGCCCCGAGAUGAGUUC
rnacentral:rRNA from 1 species